UUUGCUAAUGAGCUCUGUUUUCAUCUGUAUGGAUUUGUGGUGCCUGUCACUAUACUAGUCUAGAGCUUGGAAAAAAGAUUGGGUUUGAUUUGUAGCUUGGGAAGCAUCAACCAAAAUGCACGUGACGUGCUUAACACAGUGACUGGCAGAAUGUGCACACUCAAUAAUUACCAGCUGUUGUUACUUAGAGGCAAUGCCUCGCCCUGCUUCGGCUCGCGCACGGUGCGCGCACCCACUGACCUGCGCCCACUGUCUGGCACUCCCUAGUGAGAUGAACCCGGUACCUCAGAUGGAAAUGCAGAAAUCACCCGUCUUCUGCGUCGCUCACGCUGGGAGCUGUAGACCGGAGCUGUUCCUAUUCGGCCAUCUUGGCUCCUCCUCGAAAUGGUUCAUCUUCCACUUAAGAGACAAUCAGCAGGAUCGCAUUCAACCUCCUGUCUUUUCCCUCCACAUUUACCCUGGCCUUCUAUCUUAGUUACAAGGGCAUCUUCUCUUUCUUUCCGUCUGUGAUUUAUACACGUGCUACUUCUAUUUUGCCAGGGACCUCAUUCCCUUCCCUGUUUCUGACCGUUAAUUUCUCCCUACCUACUAUCCUCUUCUCUGUGGCCCAUGAUCAUGUACAAGUCUCUCUCAUCCGAAAAGAAAUGAAAACAGCAAUCACCUUUGGAUAACCCUGGAUCUGCCACUGACACAUCUGCAUUUCACAAUUUUUACCUGCUUGAAAGUGUGGAUCACACCCCCUCUUCAUUUUCUCAUUUCCAAAUUUCUCAUUUGUCUCUGAGUCCACUGAAAUCUGUCUGCUCCCACCACCCACUAAAGCUAUUACUGCCAAGGUCAUCAGUGUCAUUACUGUGCUAAAGUUAUGAGCAAUUUCAGCCCUCUUGGCAGUAUUUGGCUCGUGUGAUUGCUCUCUACUUAAAACUCUAUUUUUCCAUGGCUGUCACAACACUAAGUGUUGUUUAAAGUGAGUGAGAGAGAGAGAAGUUUAAUUUUUCACCAAGUCCACUGUCCAUAAAUAAGACAUACCCCCUACCCCGACUCAGCUCCUUCAAAACCCAGAUCCAGACCCCUGUCCUCCCCAGUCCCAUCUGUUGUCUUGGUUACCUCCUUGCCUUUGGGCUCCUCAUCCGCUCAGUUCUUACAACCCACUUUUUCAUGCACUGCCCCUUUGUGGCUCUGUUUUCACAUGUGUGCAUUUGAUGACUGCAGGUUUCUUAGAGUAAAAAUCGUAUGCUCUGUUUCAUUGAUUCCUUUCUUCUUUCUACCACCCUAUAUCAUCUGGAUAUUCCAACCCAGUUGGAGGCCCAUUGUUCCCCCAACAAAACCUUGAUUCUGCUGCAUCUAUGCCUUUGCUCUCCCAUCCAUCUCUGCUUCUUUCUGUGCUCAGCACGAACUCUACCUUCUCUGGGAAACAUUGCCUUUCCCCCUGUCCAGGAGUUAUAUUUUCUCCAAACACUUUGCACUUUAUCUGUUCUCCACUUGUAGCAUGCACAGCUUUUAUUUUCAUAUUCUACUCACACCUGUAGUUCUCCAGGUGGGAAGUCCUGUGAAGGCAGGAACCACUUCUUGUCCAUCCUUGCAAAGCUCCCAAAGUACAGAAGUGUUAGCUUUUAUUACUAUUGUUGUUUUUACAUCUACAAGAAGGAAAGCAUCAUUAAAUCUAUCAGAAGCAAGGUACAGAUUCUCCAUGUGGUUCCUUAGGUGACGACGAAGAGAUUAUACACAGAUUAUCUUCAGGAAUAGAAGUUGAUGAUAAGAUAGAGAAAAUUUCCUCACCAGGAGUCUAUGGACUGCCUCUGUUUGUUCAGGAGUAUGACUGAUAACUUUAGGUUGUAAAGGGUGUGACCCAAGGGUCAAUAACUUUAAGUCUCAAAAUGCCGUUGACACUGUUAACUCCUCCCUGUUUCUUGAAAUCCUCUCUUCUCUUGUUUUCUCUGUGGCACCCUUUGCUCCUGUGUUCCUCCUUUUUCUAUGCAUCCUUAGGGGUUCCCGGGGGUUUUGUUCAUGGUCCUCUUCUUUCUCAAUCUGUUUUCGAGAAACUUGCAAAAGUACAACUCAGCCUAACAUGCCUGUCCAAGUUCCAGACCUGAAGAGCUCCAGCCUCCUCGUGGAUCCCUUUAUCUCAACACGUCUGGAACAGAACUCAUGUGGGUCUCUUUCUGGGCUUCUUAUCUCAGUAAAUUUCACCACCAAAUAUCCAGUUCUGAAGCAAGAAACACUGGGCUUCACUUUUGAUUCCUCCCUCCCUCUCAAUGCCCAAAUCUCAUGGGUCUAAAGUCCCAUCAAUGUUAUCACUUGCAUAUUUUUGAAAUCCACACCAUUGCAACCCAUUUCCAAAGUAGACUACUGAUUGCCAGGGGCUGGGGGCUAGGCGGGGCAGGGGAAAUAGGGAAAUGCUUCCAUUUUCAUUCUCACCAAUGCUGUCCUGGACCACUGCAAAGCCUUCUGACUGGUCUUCAUGCUCUCCUCACCUCCUCUUUCUAAAGCAUCCUGCUUAACAUUGCUAAAAUAAUUUGUCUAAAUGGAAAUUUGACCGUAUUACUCCCUAGCUUAAAAUACUCCGGGGGUUCCGCAUUGUCUCCUCCAUAGCAUGGCCAUAAAGUCCUGCAAGAAUCACAUGCUUUGGCCUUUGUCCUCCUCCAGCGUGUCAUUCCUUGCAGGUGACCCCUUCUGGUCCAGUGGGUCUCCAUCCUGGUGUGUCUCAACCUGUGGAUGAUGCUUGAGCCCUCCUCUCAGAGAUUCUGGUCUGGAAAGGGCCCUAAACGUUGUUGUUGUUGUUGUUGUUUUAAGUUCCCAGAGCUGCUAAUAUGCCUCCAGGGGUAGGCACAACUGUGAACCUAGCCCUACAUGUGAAGGGUUUGCAAGUGCCAGGUCCCGAACCUAUUGAGUAGAAGGAACCAAAGUAAGCAGCAUUGCCUCCGUCAUUUCCCACCCUCUUAUGAUAUUUUAAGGAAAGGGUUUUUCACUCAGCUAUGCAGCAAAUAUUCCUGGAAAUCUUGCCUGGGUCAUAAGGAAAUGAGGGCUCUUGUAUUGCCUAGCUCCCUUCCUUUUGCCUGCUAGAGAGGAGAUAGGGUAGAGGCUUUCACUGCGUAAGUUGAGCAGAUAGUUGUAUGCUCCUUAUGAGCAAUUGGGUGAGGGUGGCAGCGGGUGGAAGAUGACCAUCAAGAAUGGUCUGUCUCCCUUCCAUUGCUUGAAUUCCUAUCUACCUGAUGGUUUGCUACAGCUGCAGUAACAGUAACAAAGACCACAAACUGAGUGGCUUCAACGAGGCCAAAGUAUUAAAGAUGAUACCAGAUUAAGGUGUUAACUUUCCCAAGGAUUUAGUCUCCUAGUAUCUUCCAAUGUCUUAGUCCAAAGAAAUGAAUAAUGAGGGAUAUUCCGGAUACCAUGGGAAGCCUGAUAAGGAGGUAUUUUUAGAUUUUUGUAUCAAUUUAAAGACUACUAGGGGAGUGCCUACAGCUCUGUGAAGAACACGGGUACUGGUGGCUCAUCUCAGCCAGUCCCUGCCCCUCUUCUCCUUCCUUAGUCCUUGGAGGGCCAUUCACUUCAGAGGGCAUGCUCCACAUCCAGCUUGCCCCUAAAGUGAUUGCCUAAAACUAUUCAAGCUCUGUGACCAGUAAUUUCCUCUAAAAUGACCUCAGUUCUUCAUCAGUGAAAAUAAUGCAUUGGGUUAUAUUUUUUCUUCUCUAUUUCUUUCCAUAUCUCACUAGAGCUUAUCCUUUUUAAAAGCAUACACUGAAAUUAUUUUAAUUAUAAUAUGUAUAUAUAUAUAAAGAUUUAACAGAUUCCAUGCAUCCACCAGUUAAAUUGAACAGAUGUUAAUUUAUUUGCUCAUAUUUAUUCUGGGUCUUUUAUAUUUCAGUCACAAACCAAUUUCGAAAACGUUAAAACAUGAGAAAAUGGGCCUCUUAAGAUGAAAAAGUUAUAAGACGUUAAGGAGGAAAUCAAAUACACAUUAAUAAGUGAUUAUGAAAAUGAGACUAUUACAUAUGAAAACCUAUGGGAAGAGUACCAAAUUUCCACGAGAAAAAACAAAACCCUAAAUGUUCACUACUGUCAUGAGCUAUGCAGAUUUGGAGGUAGACUCUUCAGAAGCAAGCUCAUUUACCAUCUUAUCUGGAGAGCAGCCAUUGUUGCUGGAGGGCUUUUGUUUUGCUGAGUGAUCUGUACUUCAGUUAGCACUGAAGUACUCGGAAUAAUAGAGAUGACCCUGUUUGUAGUCAGCCAACCACAGACUUCUCUAUCUUUCCCCUGCAGUGUUCAGACUCCACAUAAACACAUGUAAAAUAAAUGUUUAAAGAAUAUUAUUUCUGAAAGCUGACAAAUUAGCAGUCUCCACAUGUUUUGGUCUGGCUUUAUAUCUAUCAUUGAGGUUAUAGGCCACACUCCAGAACACACUUGAAGUUGACAAUAAAGGACUCAGGAGAGACCACCCAGUUCAUGUUGGGGUUCCAUUUUCCAACAGGCUCGGAUGGGCAGAGGAAAGUUAACAUCUCCAAAGGAGGGUCUCCAAGUCUAUUCCAGGAUUGGGGCUGUGGGAACCUCCUGGCCUGUGCUGUUUUUCAAAUAGGAGGCCUUGACUAUGUACUUACUAACUUUGACUACUGAAAGGUCUGAAAAGGAGAUAAACUAUUUUUCAUUGCCUUUAGUAAACAGAAGUGGUUCAGUUGUAAGGUACUGGGCCUGAUUGGUUCUCCUGAAGAUACAAAGUCUCCCCAGAUAACACUGACACAUGAGCAGUACUUCCAACAGCCACCUUCUCUUAGCCUGUCUAGG
rnacentral:lncRNA from 1 species